rnacentral:lncRNA from 1 species
CCCUCUUCUCUUAAACGCUCUCUAAACCCUAGCAGCCCACUUUCGUCUCCGAUAAAAAAACCACUAGCGUCCAUGGCUUCUCAGGCCAUGACAACCUAUAUUCUCUCCCCUUUUACCCCAAGCCAUGAUUAUUUGAGCUUUCAAGGCUCAAACUUCAACAAACCUGUUUUAGGUACUCUGCCGACUUGAGGUGCUUUUGGGUUCUCCAGUUCCGUUCCAGUGUGUUCGAGCUCUGGAAAACUUAGCCAUGGUCUAGAUUCGUUCAGAGACCAGACCAUUCCAG